GAAGAAGAAGAUUAAGAGGGAGAUAAAAAUAUUGCAGAAUCUUUGUGGAGGGAUAAAUAUUGUGAAGUUGCUUGAUAUUGUUCGAGAUCAGCAAUCAAAGACGCCUAGUCUUAUAUUUGAGCAUGUGAACAACAUUGAUUUUAAAGUUCUUUAUCCAACACUUUCAGACUUUGAUAUUCGCUACUACAUAUAUGAACUUCUAAAGGCAUUGGAUUAUUGCCACUCACAAGGAAUUAUGCAUCGAGAUGUAAAACCUCAUAAUGUGAUGAUUGAUCAUGAG
rnacentral:misc_RNA from 1 species